CUCUGUCUUCUCUUACUUUUAUAUUACUCUCAAUUCCCAUUAAACUUUCAAACUUUCAGCCAUAGUUAAGCUUCUUCCCUUCAGAAAACAUCGACUGAAGUUGCUCCUAGAUUAAAGAAGCUUCAAUUUAUAAUACUCUGCCCCUUAAACUAGCAAGCCUGAUCUGCUGCAUAGUCGUCUAAAUAAAAAUUGACGGGGAUAAAUAAGUUGCUGUGUUGGUUUGCAGUUUUCUUCUUUUUGUUGGGUUUCUCUGCUUGCACUUCGAUUUCUGAUGGUGUUUUCGACUCUUUCACUUCUACUGGAAGGCACCUCCUUCAAGCUAAGAAAGGGCUUCCAACAUAGGAAUGCCAGUAAUGGAGAGUAUUGAGCACAGUUUAAGGUAAGUUAGGAAGAGUUGGGUUAGUGACAAAUCUGAUGAGCCUUCACUGUGCUGCUGAACAAUCUGCUUGUUGUCUAGGGCAAUAUACAUCCUGAUUCAAGGCUAGGCAUAGAAAACCCUUUGGAGUGCCUAUUUUCUAGCAGUUUGGCAUCAUAUUAUAAGGACCUUCAUUUGCUGCUCAUCAUCUCCCAUCCAACAGUUACUGCUUCCUGCUCCUCCUGCAGCUGUUGGUUCAACUGAAGCUGCCAUUUAAUCUUCGAAUUAAUAUUUGGUACUAGCGACCACCUGAAUAAUAAAUACACCACAUCCAUUGACAUCUGGUCUGCCGGCUGUGGCAGUCUCUGUUUCUUGGUGAGAGUGGAGUAGACCAGCUUGUUGAAAUUAUUAAGGUGGCAGGACAGCAGCUCAAUAACGCUACCAUAACUGUUGCCAAGCGAAGCCAUGGCAAGAAGCCCAAGGGCUGCUUCGUUAUUAUAUCAUUAUACAACUAUCACGACGGGGAUGAAGGUGGUAGACUUUAGAAAACCUCAAUCUGCUUUACCACAUGAUGUUGGCUCUGGAUUUACGUCGGAACUGCUUCUUUCUUAUGCACCAGGUCCCUGGGAACGUGCUCAACUACAACACACCAUUUAUAAAGGGGUAGGGUUAGGUCUAUGUUCACACAUAAACCAGAUAAAAACGAAAGGGCAAUUUCAUUUUAUCAUGUAACAUCAAGCUCAUGACCGUAAAAGCAAGGACAUAGGAAUAUAAUAACCUUUCGAAGAUCCUCUAAAUACAAGAAAAAAAAAAACCCGAAAAUAACUGUAUCGAGUAACAUAGAAAAAACCAUAGCAUCUAGAAUCAUUGAAGUGACAAAACCAACAGAUGUCGGUCAUACAGCAAAAAAUUUUAAUGCAAGUGAACACCGAUAACUAUUUUCAUGUAGUA